UUACAAGAAUUUUCCAAAAGUUAUGCACAUCAAAUUUAAUAUUUUAUGGAUUUGGUAUAGAUAUUUAUUAUUAUUCAGCAUAUUUAUUCUGUUGUAAUAAACAUAGUCGAAUAAUUAAGAAGCGACUGCAAUAUUUUACUCUAAAAAUGAUACGACAAAAAAAAAUUGUGUAGCAACCACAGCUGGAAGUCGUGGUGAAUUGCAACCGGCAGUCUUGCAGAUAAAUUGGCCCCACUUGAAUUUCCAUUUUCAACAGAAGGGAAGUGGCAUAGAGAGAAUGACCCACAACUGGAAAAACACUCAACUUCAAGUUAACAACAAAUUUUUGGCACAUUUAUUGACAUUAAUGAAUAUAUUUUUAUUUACACUUCAUAUCAUUCACAUUUAUAAAACUCAAAUAAUAACUUCCAUUUAACUAUGAGAGUCCACUCAAAUUUAUUUCACGAACUACGCCAAGGAUGACACAAGAGAUGAAUAUAUCCCUGGAUAACACUGCCAAGCAAACAAUUUCAAACUGAAUAUCAGAGAUAUUAUCCCUGCUGAAUAUCCAUUAUACUUUUGCUUAUUUGCUCAAAAGGUAGAAUGUCAUAAUCUCUCUGCACAUGUGUCAGAGGCGUUGCCAUUUUGAUCCGAUCGGAACGAAAUUGGUAGUUUCAUUUGUCUGUGGUGUUUGGUUGGCAGAAGGUAUGACAGAGAAUGUAAAAUAAUGUCGUUUGAGCAUUAUAAAUAUACGAAUCUUAUCCUGAUGUUAAUUGUGGCCAAUAAUUUUCUGUGGUGAAACACGCUCAUCGUUUUCAGUACCCCUGCGAAAAGUGAAAUAUUUUAAUAAUGGCCGCACUGUGAACCAUCUCUAUAAUCUAUAUAUUUGGUAUAACAAUAUACCUCCGCAGUAAGCGAACGGAAUGAUAUGAUGAUGAUGACAUAUUAUACAUUUUCAAAAUGUCAAACACGAAAUUGACAAGCUUUUUUAGCGAUUAGAGCUCUCCUGGAAAAAAAAAACAUUUUUUAGGGAGUAUUUAAACACAUUCGAUUGGAUUGAGGAAAAUUAAGCACGGCCAUUAAAUGUACUUAAAUUUAGUUGACCUGUAAGAUUUAUUUGUACAUAUAUGCAUAUUUGUCCAGGUGUGAAUUGAAAUAAAGCCCAAUGGUUUGAUGAUAAAAAA